rnacentral:rRNA from 1 species
UACGGAGGGUGCAAGCGUUGUCCGGAAUCACUGGGCGUAAAGGGCGCGUAGGCGGCUCAUGAAGGCUGUGGUGAAAGUCCGGGGCUCAACCUCGGAUCGGCCGUGGCGACUCGUGGGCUGGAGCACUGUAGAGGCGGGUGGAAUUCCGGGUGUAGCGGUGGAAUGCGUAGAUAUCAGGAGGAACACCAAUGGCGAAGGCAGCUCGCUGGGACGUGACUGACGCUGAGACGCGAAAGCGUGGGGAGCAAACAGG